UGCAAAGGUAACUGAGACAAU
rnacentral:miRNA from 2 species